UUGUAGGUGAAUCAGUUAAAAUAAUUGCAGAUGUUGAGAAUCACUCAAGCCGAACAGUAGUGCCAAGAGCCUCCCUUAUUCAAACGCAACUGUAUUAUGCAAGAGGCAAGUCAAAGAGUGUAAACCAGACUGUUAUUGAAGUGGAGGGAGAGAAAAUUAAUGGUGGAGCCAUAGUAACCUGGAAUGGCAGUCUGCUAAUCCCACCACUUAGUCCCUCCAUUCUGAAAUGUAACAUUCUCAUGGUGACAUACACGCUGAAGGUUUAUUUAGAUAUCUCUGGAUCACUGAAUUCAUCCAUUGACUUUCCAUUUGUUAUUGGCACCAUUCCUCUGGCACCUAUUCAACCACCAUCUUUUCCAGUGCAACCAAUUGGCUUUGUCUUUAACUAAAGGUUGGAGACAUACAAGAUGAUCACUGGCUGAAAUAGAAGCAAGACUAAGAAAUAACUACUCUGUCAUAAGGCAGCUGAAGGAAAACAAGAGCCUCUGCUUUUUACAAUGAAGAUGGCAUAAUAGCUUUAAAGAUUUUGCAGAACAUUUUCUUUAUGCAUCUUACUGUUGAAUAUAUAAUGUUUCUGUUUAAUAUAUGUGAACAUCUUAUUAACUUUUUAUGUUUAAUGAAUUUAUACAUCAAUUUAUUAAGAAAGAGAUAUUAUAUUUUUUAUAGCAAGGAAUGGAAUGCAAUGUAUUUUGGAAGGGUCUAUAUUAUAUCAUCGAACGCUUAAAAAAGCAAACGCUGAUUGAUCAACCUAAUUUAAGCGAAAGCUUACAAUCUCAAUCUGUCAGAUC